AGCGAACGCUGGCGGCAGGCCUAACACAUGCAAGUCGAGCGGGCGCAGCAAUGCGUCAGCGGCAGACGGGAGAGUAACACGUGGGAACGCGCCCUUCGGUUCGGAAUAACCCAGGGAAAC
rnacentral:rRNA from 1 species